rnacentral:rRNA from 1 species
GUGGGGAAUAUUGGGCAAUGGGCGCAAGCCUGACCCAGCAACGCCGCGUGAGGGAAGAAGGCUUUCGGGUUGUAAACCUCUGUCCUUGGUGACGAAACAAAUGACGGUAGCCAAGGAGGAAGCCCCGGCUAACUACGUGCCAGCAGCCGCGGUAAUACGUAGGGGGCGAGCGUUGUCCGGAAUUACUGGGCGUAAAGGGUGCGUAGGUGGCCUUUUAAGUUGGAUGUGAAAUACCCGGGCUUAACUUGGGGGGUGCAUCCAAAACUGGGAGGCUAGAGUGCAGGAGAGGAAAGCGGAAUUCCUAGUGUAGCGGUGAAAUGCGUAGAUAUUAGGAGGAACACCAGUGGCGAAGGCGGCUUUCUGGACUGUAACUGACACUGAGGCACGAAAGCGUGGGGAGCAAACAGGAUUAGAAACCCCUGUAGUCC